rnacentral:lncRNA from 1 species
GGCCCGGGGAAUGACAUCACCGGAGCGAGCGGGCGGCGGGCGGGAGCGCGGCUCGCCGCAGUGUCCCCGCGCCCGGCGCGGCCCCGGCUCGCCAGCCCCGGGCGGAGCGGAACGGGCGGCGGCGGAACGGGCGGCGAGGCGGAGCAGGGCCCCGCGCAGCCCCUCCGCCGGCAGCAUGGCAGCGGGCGGCCGCGCCGGCAGGUCCCGAGACUUGCAGCCUUUUUCUGUCUUCUUGGAAAACUUGUCGGAAGAGGAAAGCCCCUGGAUUCGGAGUCCCCAGCACCAUCCAUUCCAUCUGGAACUGACAGCUGCUCCACCAGGGCAAGCCCUGGCUCUGCUUUGGGAUGUGCUCAGAGCCCUGAGGAGAGCAGCCAAGCGAGAUCCUUGCUAACCCCUUCCUGGAAGGACUCGUUGCACCAUGCUGAUGGGAAGAUUGAUUUUUUCCAGGAGCCCAGAGCACAGCUUGGCACUCCCAAGGGCUGAGGCUGAAGCGACAGCGGGGCUCUGAGCGGAGCUGGGUGCAGGGCAGAGCCCCACCGCCCUCACCACGUGUCCGGGUACCCCCAGGAGGGAUGAGGAUGAAGCUGCAGCCAUCACCUUCGUGUCUCAGCACCAUUUCAGCAGGCUGGCCUGUCUGCUGCCGUGAGCGGGGAGCACCAGUGGCGUUUCUGGCUCGUGGGCUGCAGUGCUGAUGGUCCUGUGAGGGGUUCAGGUGAGGCUGCUGCAUUCUGCGAAAAGACCACAGGCCUGCUGUGCUUUCAGCGCUGCUCCCAGGCAGCGGGAUGACGGCUCCCAUGCUCUUUGCAGCAAAGCAGCUGCCCCAGAGGUGCGGAGAGCAGGAGCUUCCCUUGGCUCUCCUCCCGGCGGGGGUGGCACCCAUCCGGCAGCGCUGGGAUGUGCUGCUCUAAAAAUAACUGAAAUAACUGUCAGGUUGCUUUGAGAGGAGGAAACGAGGGGAGGUGGGAGGAACUGAGGUGUUUCUGAGGAGUAAGAGAGAAAGGUGAAUGAAAUCCUUGGUGGCUCUCAGCUCCUCAUCCCGGAGCACGCCAGGAGUGGGGGCUCACAUGGGUGCCUUGGGCUUCUGGUGGGGCAGGGAGCUGGAUUUGGGGCUGGCUGAGCAGUGAUGAGGAAGGGGUGAAGAGCACACGUGCAGUUUUCAUGCUGGAGGUGCAUUUCCAGCUGGCAGGGUCUUCCUGUCCCUGUGGGGGGGUUGUCCCCAUGUCCUAACCCUAAUCCUAACCCUAACCCUGUCCCCUCCUGUCAGGGAUGGGUGACGUGGCUCUGCUCCGUGUCCGGGGUGCUGGGGGCAGCCCUGGUGCAGCGGGGGGACAGGAGGUUCUGUGUGUGCUGGCUUGGGGUGCCCCCAGGCAGGGAGAGCUCCCGGGUGAGCUGGGCACGUAGCAGGGGCAGGGAAGGGAAAGGGGAGAAGCUCCUGCCUUUCCUGCCAGGCGAGGGCUGUCCCCGAGGGCUCUGUGCCCCAGAGCCACUGUCCCCAGCCAGGUCAGCUCAUGGAGCACAUGGGCUUGGAUUUCUCCCUUCCAGCCCACAGAGGCAGGCUGUAAUUAGCUGUGUUGUCUGUAACCCGAUCUCCCAUCCCAGUGCUUCGUUCUUGACUUACCCUUGGCGUUUCCCAGUGUCUCUGGGCGAGCUGUAUCCCUUAUCCAUGGCCCAUUCUGCCUCCUGCAGACAGACAGAGGCUCUCGAGGCAGGGCAGUGCCCUGGGCAGUGUGUCCCCUGAGAGCCUUGUUCUCCUCCAGGCCCUCUGAACCUUCUCAUGAGGAGCAUUUAGGGGCGCCUCAAUUGCAAGUUUUUCUAGGAAGUAUCAGAGGAGCUUGUGGUCCUCACAUCAGGGCCCUGGAACACUCUGCAGAGAGCUUUAAUCUCAAAAUAAAAUCAAAGCAAGGCUUUCAACUUGGAUUUUCUUUGGAAGUCACUUUAUUUUAAACCCUUUUUUUUUCCUGAGUAGUCCUUUAGGAGUGAAAAAGCCCCACAUCAUGAAAUCUUGCCUAUGUAAAUAAUUUUUGGGCUUGGGCUUUUUGAAGUCACAAGAAGGGUGUGCUGCUCAGUGCCCUCUGCCAAGCUGGCAUCACUUGGAGUCCUGUCU